rnacentral:rRNA from 1 species
GAGUUUGAUCGUGGCUCAGAGCGAACGCUGGCGGCAGGCCUAACACAUGCAAGUCGAACGGACCCUUCGGGGUUAGUGGCGGACGGGUGAGUAACACGUGGGAACGUGCCUUUAGGUUCGGAAUAGCUCCUGGAAACGGGUGGUAAUGCCGAAUGUGCCCUUCGGGGGAAAGAUUUAUCGCCUUUAGAGCGGCCCGCGUCUGAUUAGCUAGUUGGUGAGGUAACGGCUCACCAAGGCGACGAUCAGUAGCUGGUCUGAGAGGAUGACCAGCCACACUGGGACUGAGACACGGCCCAGACUCCUACGGGAGGCAGCAGUGGGGAAUCUUGCGCAAUGGGCGAAAGCCUGACGCAGCCAUGCCGCGUGAAUGAUGAAGGUCUUA